rnacentral:misc_RNA from 1 species
AAGUCGUAACAAUGACUCUUGGGGAGCCUAAUCUCAACAGCAAUCUGGUAAUCAGUAGGCACAGUCGUUAUUUGAUUCAGACCUCUGUUGAAAGGGUAACCCCAAUCGAGUGCUUUGCUAGUGGUCUGGAGUUCUGCCUCGCUUGAGGGAGCGUAAAACAGGUGGAAUAACGCAUAUUUGCGAUCGCUAGAGGUUCACACGACGGACAGAAAACAGGGACUAGAUCCCCCCUACGACGACCAAGUUGAACUGGAAUCCUGAGCACGCAUAGCAAGUGCGCCGCGGCAAUGGCUCUCUUGGUUCCC